rnacentral:misc_RNA from 1 species
GAUGAAGAACGUAGCGAAAUGCGAUAAUUAAUGUGAAUUGCAGAAUUCAGUGAAUCAUCGAGUCUUUGAACGCACAUUGCGCCCCCUGGUAUUCCGGGGGGCAUGCCUAUUCGAGCGUCGUGGUCACGCUUCAAGCCCGGCUUGAUGAUGGGGAACGCCCUCUCUCGGGGGGGGGCCUCCUUCAAAUGCAACUCCAGACGCCUCGUUGGCUGGGAGCGCAGCAGCAGUGCGCUUCCCCGAGGCGACCGGAUGCCCCUCGUGGGCUCGAGAUUGCUAGACCUCGAAUUAGGCAGGGAUACCCGCUGAACUUAAGCAUAUCAAUAAGCGGAGGA